AUGCGUGUAGGCGACAGUGGAACAAAUUCAGACAGUCAAUUAUCCGUCCGUCAGAAUACUCAGGUAUUUGGCAAUAUUGGCUCUUGGGAUGCCCAAUUGAUCACUGAAGCUGGUGGCAAGGUGGUCUCCAUCAGAGAUGUCACAGGGGCUGUCAAGAACUCCAAUGGCAUUGACAUAGCCAAGCUGAUGAAGCACUCGGCAGAGAACCGCGGGAUCAAGGGCUUUGACGGAGGCGACGCCGUUGACCCGACCUCGCUGCUCACGGAAGAGUGCGAUGUGCACAUCCCGGAAGCUCUGGGAGGAGUCAUAAACAAGGACAAUGCUGAUGCCAUAAAAGCAAAGUACAUCAUCGAGGCUGUUAACCACCCAACAGACCCUGAGGCCGACGAGAUUCUGGCAAAGAAGGGCGUGCUGGUCCUACCGGACAUCAUGGCCAACUCCGGUGGAGUGAUAGUGAGCUGCUUCGAGUGGGCCGCUGGGCGUCCAAGAGGCACUUGA
rnacentral:rRNA from 1 species